CAAAUCAAAACUGUUAGUUACCAGCUUCAACGGUCAAUCAUUUUCCCGGACGCCCCGACACGGUCUCUCUGUUUUGAAUUUUCCUCUCUUCGGAUCCUCCAUCGAGCUCCAGUGCAGAACAUUAUGCUGAACUGGGGAACUUUGCGCAGGGAGGAUCCAAAGUUCUACAUUCUGGAUCAACUAAAGCUUUUGUUCUUCCUUCCAGUUUUGAGUUUUAUGUUCUUAUAGUGAGAAUCAAGUGGAAAUGGCUUCCAAUGGGACUUCAUAUGUUAAAGUACAGAGGAAGGGAUUUGCAGCAAUUCUAAAAUCUGCAGCUUGUGAAUGGUUCUUGAUAUUUUUGUUGCUCAUUGAUGCUGUAUUCUCGUAUCUUGCAACAAAAUUUGCACGUUACUGUGAUUUGCAAAUACCUUGCGUCUUGUGUUCCAGAAUUGACCAUUCUUGGGGCAAAGAGAAACCUGAUUUUUACCGGAAACUGUUUUGCAGUGACCACACAUCCGAAAUUUCAACUCUACUUUCUUGUCAGGUUCACAGUAAGCUUGCUGAUGGCCGUGGUAUGUGCGACAAUUGUCUCUUGUCAUUCAGCACCAAUAAUAAACCAAACCCCGAUAUGCACAGGUUGUUCCUGGGUAAGAUUGGGGUCGAUAUUUGUGGCU